AGAUGUGUGCUUUUUUGAUCUUUGCCUGCUUGCUUUUGCCUGACUAACAAGUCCCUUCCUUCCCUGGCAUUAGAUCCUCCUCCUUCAGGAUUCCAGCCUGUACUGAAGAGCAGCUGAGACAUCCAGCCUUGUGGACUGAGCAGCUACUGGAGUCUUCAACCUUCUAUUCAUAGGCAGCCAUUGUUGGACUAGCUGAACCACAGCCUAGGCUGUGGGACUGUGGAUGAGAGAUUUGCCUGACCACAGACCAGGCGGGACACAGGACACCUGACGACAACCAUUAAUACUGUGGUCCCCAGAACAUUCUUCUCCAUCUUUCCUUCCAUAUGCAGAGUCCAUUGAUUCUCCACAGCUGUGUCCUCAGCUGAUGCCUUCUUCAUUGUCCCCAAUGGAUCCUUGGUUUGGGAGGAAUAAGAGCCAGAAGCUUUGGCUGUGGAGAAGGCAGCAAGGCUGGAGCCACACGACCAACUUCUUUAAGUAGGAAUGACAAAGACCAGGGAAACAGUAGAACUUUGGAUCAAGUUCUUUUCGUCCUUGGCAGCCACCAUUGAGAGAACUGUGGGUCACCAGAUCCCUGGUCACAGCACCUGUCCCCAUUCUGUCCCACACUUGUUUUUCUUCCUGUAGCCUGGAUGCCUGUUGAGCUGUAAAGAAAAAAACCUGUCAGGAACCCCUGAGUGACACCAAGACCCAGCAGCUGCCAUGGGCUCCCCAGCUCUCCUGGAACCAGUCUCUCCCUGCCAGCAGCCUGACUUACAAUACUAUGCAAAGCUUCCCAGCUCCCUGUAAGAGCCAUGAUAGCCAGCUUCAUUUGCAACCCAAAAGGAGAGUGGAUAGAGGAGAUGGGGUCAGGUAAGGCCUGGAAUAAGUCAGAAAGGGAAUUUAUGUGCUCAAAAUAUAUUCAUAUAAGUGGUUAGGUGAAAAGUUACGAGUCUAUCAUAAAUGUGCUCAAACUACAAUCUUACAGGUAGUUAGGUAAACAAGUCUAUAAGUCACAAAAAUAAAACUGUCUCUGUUUUCCUAUGCCGCCAUAUACUGACAGGAUAGGGUAACUCUGCUCAGAGCUGGGAAGUCUGUCUCAAAGCUACUUUGCACCUGGCAUGCAAAAAAAACUUUUGAUCUGAGUCAAUAGCUUGGGAAUGCCAUUUGGGUUAUGAAAGAGAUGGGAGCCUGAGAUUCAUUUGCACAAGAAAGAAAGCUAUGCACCUAGCUGUCCCCUAGGUGGUGUCUCCAGAAGGGUGUUUACAUUAAGACAGAAGACAGCUAUUGGCCUAGGAUGCUAGGUAAAAAAUACUGUAAAAUUCUUGGAAGUUGAGAGUGUGCAAGAAAUUCAUAGUAGGAAACAGUUGACAUAUUAAAAGCUGAAUAACAUCAAAUAUUCCUUGACAUUUGACUUCUACUCCAGAAGAAUUCCUUGAUCCUUCUAUGUAUAGCUUUAUCAUAUACAGCUGAAUCUCUUUUUCACAUUCCUGUGGCCCAUAGCACAGCUUCAGCCCCCUCAUGGUGGCUUGCUCUCAGCUGAUGCUGGGGUGCUGUCCCUGAGGAGGCAGCCCACCCUGUUCCAGCCCAGGAACCCACCUUUUCUAACUGUCUCAGCAGGAAGUUCCUGCACCUCAGGGAGACCUUGUCCACAUUCUGUUACCUAGAGACUCUCACAUUACCUAUCCCUUCAGGGUCCAGGGUCCCCAUGCUGUUCUGAGAGUAAUACAGAGGCAGGCCAGUGCCUGCUGCAUAGCAGGUCCUCCCUCCUUGGUCACCUCCCCUUCCUGGACCCUGUUAAUUCCAUGAGAUCCAAUCCCCAUGGCAAGCUGUGUUAGGAUACCCACCCUGCACUUCCAGGACCGGCACUUGUUUACCAGGUGUGCCUACCUAAGGUGGGGCCUGAUGGUUUCUCUUCUCAUUUAAAAGAAAUGUCUGAACUUUAAGAUGAAAACCAGAAAAAAUAGAAGGAAAAAAAAAACCCUACCCACAAGUGGCUCCUAACCAGGAGCCACCCUACAUCCAGGAACACCCUAACCCCAGGAACCACCCUACACCCAGGGACCAACUUACACCCAGGAACCAUACUACAUCCAAGGACCACCCUGAAAUUAAUGACUAACCUUUUCAGUGUCAAAAGUCAUGUCUGAGCUAGAGAGGGAAUCAGUGUUUAAGAACAUUGCUGCUCUUGCAGAGUACCUGGGUUCAAAUCCCAACACCCACAUUAGGUUCAUAACUGUCUGUAACUGCCACUCCAGGGGAUGCAAGGCUCACCCUGGCACCACACACGCGGUCCAUAGACAUGCAUACAAGCAGGCAAAUAUUCCUAUACAUAAAAUAAAAAUCAAGGGAAAAAAAGUCACACUCAAGGGCCAUGCCAUAGGCACAGUGUAAAUGGAAGCCAUCACUGGAUUCU